GCGCGUGUCUAUUGCGGAGCUAUGGAUGUGCAGAGAGAUGCUGAUGGAUGCUGUGGACAUGGCUGCUAUUGCGAUAACUUUGUUCCACCAGUUGGCCACCUGGUGGAUUAGGAACAACCCUAGGAACAAAAUCCGUUCGGUUGGAAUCAAUUAAUUGGCAUUCUCAGGAAUCUGCUACAUCUACAUCUACAAAUGCACGUACCCUAAUUGCUACUACUACACGACAACUACCACUAUGAUUAUAUGCUAUAAAAAUCUAAGAUA